GUUGACCUCGGAUCAGGUAGGGAUACCCGCUGAACUUAAGCAUAUCAAUAAGCGACAAAGGUGACCUC
rnacentral:rRNA from 1 species